CAAUAGCGUAUAUUAAAGUUGUUGCGGUUAAAAAGCUCGUAGUUGGAUUUCUGCUGAGAACGACCGGUCCGCCCUUUGGGUGUGUAUCUGGCUCUUUCUUGGCAUCUUCUUGGUGAACGUUGCUGCACUUGACUGUGUGGAGCGCUACCCAGGACUUUUACUUUGAGGAAAUUAGAGUGUUUCAAGCAGGCAUACGCCUUGAAUACAUUAGCAUGGAAUAAUAAGAUAGGACCUCGGUUCUAUUUUGUUGGUUUCUAGAGCUGAGGUAAUGAUUAAUAGGGAUAGUUGGGGGCAUUCGUAUUUAACUGUCAGAGGCGAGAUUCUUGGAUUUGUUAAAGACGGACUACUGCGAAAGCAUUUGCCAAGGAUGUUUUCAUUG
rnacentral:rRNA from 1 species